rnacentral:rRNA from 1 species
UACGUAGGGUGCAAGCGUUGUCCGGAAUUAUUGGGCGUAAAGGGCCCGUAGGCGGUCUGUUACGUCGGGAGUGAAAACUCGGGGCUUAACCCCGAGCCUGCUUCCGAUACGGGCAGACUAGAGGUAUGCAGGGGAGAAUGGAAUUCCUGGUGUAGCGGUGAAAUGCGCAGAUAUCAGGAGGAACACCGGUGGCGAAGGCGGUUCUCUGGGCAUUACCUGACGCUGAGGAGCGAAAGUGUGGGGAGCGAACAGG